UGCAGCUCAACACAGGGUGUGGUC
rnacentral:siRNA from 1 species